rnacentral:sRNA from 1 species
UAUUAUUUACAGGCCUGAGAGAAGCGGGACAUUAGUGACUGAGUUCCUCUUGUGAGUGUGCCUCUACCGCUGCAUCAUCCACGAAUAACAUCUCUUACGAGGGUGGUUCUGAUUUUAGUUUUGGCCCUCAGUCUGGCAAUAUUUAGGAGUUUACCAUCAAAUUUGGAAUGGAGAUAGAUGCCUUCGGUGGAUUAGUAGGAGGCCAAUAAUAAAAAUAAUUGUAUUGAUAUUUAACUAAUUAUGUUUACAAACUGUGUUUCUGCGCAAAAACUGAACGGCCCUCGCACCCACGCAAUCGGUCAACAUACCAGAGGAAGGGGCGAAGUAAUAUAAAAAUUUAUUAAAAUAUAAGUAAUUAGAAUAUAUAUUUUUAAGAUCAUUAAAUAAUUGUUAACACCUUUAUGGUGUGAUUUCUCUACAAAAUUUUGCCCGCUUUCCACCCACCCCCAACCAAGUGAUUUACUAUAGCGCACUAGGAAAGAUUAUCUGUGGCAUUAUAUAAAUAGAUGGAUUUAAUAGUCCUAUGAUGGCAGAAUUUAAGUCAUUGGUUAAUAUGCAUGACUAAAUGCAUGACGCGUAGGACGUAAUCAUCUUCUUUUUUGAAGUAACGUCUGUAUUAUAUAAGAUAAGAUGAUAACUCUUGUCACUUUUCAAUUUACUGGGAGGCAGAAACGUUCCACAAAUGAAAGAAAGUUCUGACUGGUUCGUGCCAGGUAUCUUCACGUCUUGGUUGCCUCGAGUUUCAAGAUUAUUACGAACAUGUAUUUGAAUGUUAAUAGCAUAAGAGCACUGUUUGACAGUGAAGCCUCCAAAAAAUACUAGACCUAGGUUUUUUUAAAAUACAAAAUAUGGUUAAUGCCCAAAAUUUAGUUCCAUUGUUGAGAAAAACAUUUUUCCAACUGUAAAUUUCUUGUAAGAUCUUGUUUCAGUUUUUGGGUGGAGGCUGGAUACUGAUUUAAGCAAGACUUAAUGGGCACGAAUAGGCCUGAUUAAUGCUGAUGUGUCAAAAAAAAAAGGAAAUUCUCGAUUCCUAACAGCGGAGCUUAUACAUUUUGUUGUAUAUUUUCCUGCACAUAGCUGCAUAUGUAUUAAAGUGAGGAAAAGAUUGUCUUUGAGAUCAAUCGAUCUAUGUGAUAGAUAAUAAUAUGGCUUAACCCUUUCAGGUGACUACGGUUAAUGAUAAUUUCAUGUAGGCAGAACAACAAUCGACCGACCACAAAUAUAAGUUAUUCAUUUUUAUUUUGUUGUGGAAUCAAUUAAAUUAAUUUAUUAUUUAUUUUAUUACAUUUUAGACCUUGUUGGUAGGAAAACAGAAUAUAAAUAUUGAUAUCCUAUUUUUAGUGACUGCAUUUUUAUUUAAAAUCUGUUAAAUCAAUAUUCUAUGUUGGCUUUCUUAGAGUUAGCAAUGUCUUACACAUAGAGACACUUGUGUAUUGCUAUACUUGGACAUUUCGACACAUAAUUGAAACUCAGGUUCGGCUGCGAGCAGGAAGGAAACCUUACAUAGAAUAGUUGGUCAGCCAAUGUCAAUAGCAUCCUAGCAAUGAUUGUGUACCAUUUAGAAAACAUUUUUUUAAAGUUAUUAGUUUCCAACGGCAUCAUUGCAAGUAAUAAAUGCGGGCCGCAACUUUUGGCACAAUUUAUAGGAUUGACAACGAACUCUAUAAUUGCUAAUUAAAGACCUCUCAAAUUUAGUUAUUUAUAGUUAAUCAUUACCAUUAACAGUUGUUAUAUAGACUGUAUUUUGAAAAAGUGCUUUAUUUAUUUUUUUAAAUUUUGCGCUAAAAGUUGCAAUAGUCUGAAUAUAUCUUUAGUUAUAAGCAAGAUAGACUUAACUUAAAGUGCAUUGUAAUGUAAACACUUCGUGGUAUCUCUUUAUCAUAGUUUGUGUGUGUGAGUGUGAGUGAGUGAGUGAGUGUGAGAGAGAGAGAGAGAGAGAGAGAGAGAUACGUGGGGUUAUGUUCGAAAAGCAACAGAGGGUAUAUGAAAUAUUGAAUCGAGAAGACAAACCACAGUUAGAGGUUAUAAUAACAUUUUGUCGGGUGGAAGCGGAAGUGAAAAUGCUAUUAGAAUUCACGGGUCAAAAGCAUGUGUGCAUGUGUCUGUGUGUGUGUCAUCAAGCUGUUGGAGAAACUUUCUGAAAGAACGGACACAAUAGAAGCAGUGCACAGAAUCUUCAUGCAGUGGAAAAUGAAGAAUUUUUCGUUUACCAGGUAUUCCGGUCAAAUCUCCUGCGCCCAAUUAAUAUAGUUCAGAAGAAAUUACAAAAGUCUGGUCUGCACAUACUGGAAGCUGCUGAAGAGAUUAAGAUCUUUAAGAUGGACGAAACUGAUCAACCAAUCCAUCGAAAAAUCAGAAGAAUGUGGUGAAUGCUAUAGAUUUCCUGUAAUUAAAAAAACAGAAGAAAGAAAAGACUUGAUGGGGAGUUUUGAUGCAGGACUGUCAAUAGAACUGCAAUUCAAACGUGUUGAGACAGAAGUGCUGGACAGACUUCAUAUGGAGAUGGACUAAUUCUAAAAGCUGGAAAAUCAUUUGGACAUCAUUGGGAUUCUUUUUAAACCAAGACACCUGUUGGAUUCUAUAGAUGAUGAACUACAGGUCAAUCACUUGUUGAAUGAUGUCAUUGAUCAAUGAGCUUUUUUCAUCAACAAACCAGUACGACAGUCACCUAUUGACAUAUAGAGGAAGCUUUCUAGACUAGGAAUGUACGAUUAGACUAGGAGUGUACGAUUAAAAUGGAAAUGUAAGAUUGGACUAGGAAUGUACGAUUAAAAUGGAAAUGUAAGAUUAGACUAGGAGUGUACGAUUAGACUAGGAGUGUAAGAUUAAAAUGGAAGUGUAUGAUUAGACUAAGAGUGUACGAUUAGACUAGGAGUGUACGAUUUGAUGCCACGGAAGUACUACAGAUGACCAUAACAUCAUCUGUCCCAUAGAUGGCAAGAUCUAAAAGGGCUACUUUACUUUAAAAUAUACUACAAAGUUAUAUUCGAAAUACAAAU